rnacentral:lncRNA from 1 species
GCUGUCAUGGCGACCCCCAACAACCUGACCCCCACCAACUGCAGCUGGUGGCCCAUCUCGGCGCUGGAGAGCGAUGCAGCCAAGCCGGUGGAAGCCCCCGACGCGCCCGAGGCAGCCAGCCCCGCCCAUUGGCCCAAGGAGAGCCUGGUUCUGUACCACUGGACCCAAUCCUUCAGCUCGCAGAAGGUAGAGCGGGCGCGGGGUGCGGACAGGAGGCUGGAAGGGGAACGGAGAAAGGGGGAGGGAGCACCGGGAUUUCCCGGAGGGAACUGUCCGGACCGGCCGCCGAACCCAGCCCCAAAGCCAGGAGUAUCUCCUUAGGCCUUGCUCCUUCUUGGGUACACCUGAACAGAGAGACAAAGGCCGGGGACAGACCGGCCCUGCCUGCAAGCGGCCUGAUGGGGCUGAGCAGAGGAAGCCUCACUUUAAGUCAACUUUCACCCCAUCCACUGUUCCAGACACCCUGAGCUCUUCGGGCACAGCUCCCAGGCCCUCAUUCUGGCUGGGGUCUUCUUCAGUCAGGGGCUUGGAAAGUCUGUCUCCAUCCGUCACCUUUUCUCUA